rnacentral:rRNA from 1 species
UACGUAGGGCGCAAGCGUUGUCCGGAAUUAUUGGGCGUAAAGAGCUCGUAGGCGGUCUGUCGCGUCGGCUGUGAAAGCCCGGGGCUCAACCCCGGGUCUGCAGUCGAUACGGGCAGGCUAGAGUGCGGUAGGGGAGACUGGAAUUCCUGGUGUAGCGGUGAAAUGCGCAGAUAUCAGGAGGAACACCGGUGGCGAAGGCGGGUCUCUGGGCCGUAACUGACGCUGAGGAGCGAAAGCGUGGGGAGCGAACAGG